GAUGAAGAACGCAGCGAAAUGCGAUAAGUAAUGUGAAUUGCAGAAUUCAGUGAAUCAUCGAAUCUUUGAACGCACAUUGCGCCCCCCAGUAUUCUGGCGGGCAUGCCUGUUCGAGCGUCAUUUCAACCAUCAAGCCCUGCUUGUGUUGGGGUCCUGCGGCUGCCCGCAGGCCCUGAAAACCAGUGGCGGGCUCGCUAGUCACACCGAGCGCAGUAGCACAUCUCGCUCAGGGCGUGCGGCGGGCUCCAGUCGUUAAAGCACCCACCUUUCGCAAGGUUGACCUCGGAUCAGGUAGGAAUACCCGCUGAACUUAAGCAUAUCAAUAAGCGGAGGA
rnacentral:misc_RNA from 1 species